rnacentral:lncRNA from 1 species
UAUAAAAAAAAAAAUUCUGUAAAUAUCUAAUUUUUUUUAUCUUAUCUUUUUGAUUUUCAAAAAGCUAUAUUUUGCACUCUUAAAAUUUCGAAGUUAUUUUCAGAGAGAUGCGGCGUUAAUGAAGACGGCAAAAUGACCAGAUUAUUCAUACUUUUUUUACAAAAAAAAAUAUUUUUUUAAUAUAUUUUUGUUAUUUUGAAAGAUAUUUUUUGUAUAAAUUAUAAGAAAUGAACGGAAUUGUGCUUGACGGGAGGCUAAAUGCAACAACUAGAAAUGUUGAGAGAAUAAAAUAUAAAUUUUUAAAAGUUAGAAAGAAAAAGUGAAAAAAAAAUUUUUAUAAAUUUUUUUUUUUAAUCUAACCUUUAUAAUAUUUUACUAAUAUGUCCAUUUAGAAAACUUCAAUUGAAUAGCUGCUACAAUUCAGGAAAAAAAAUUAUUUAAAAACUGGUAAUGAUCAUAAUACUUUUCUUUUUAGCUCGAUAGUCUUAGAUAACUUAUGGUACCAACCGGGUUCUUUAUUAUAGUUUGGAUUGUGCUAUGUAUUAUUGUUUUAUUUUUAUUGAUAAAAAUAAUUAACAUAUUAUAUGGGAUGUCAAAAAAAAAAGAAAGGAAAAGAAAAGUGCCAAACUAAUUCAUUUAUCCAUUGCAUCCAAACCUGUUGAAGUUUUCAAUUUCAUAUAGCCAAAUAAGGCUUUUAUAUUAGAGUAAAAAGCAUUUUAAUAUAGAUAGGGCAUGUUUGAUUCGCUUUUUUUUUUACUCUGAAAUCAGAAUCGGAAUGGAUGAAUCUGUUUGUGGGUGUUCGGUACGCGGGAGUCCAAUUCCGAUUCCGAUUCUCGAGUGGAAUGGAAAUCUCCCAUUCACCCUUUUUUUCAAUCCGGCCUAGGAGGCUGGAUUGAAAGUUGAAUCCGGACGGAAUGAAUAUUUAUUCGGAUUAAAUUUAUUUUUUCAACUUUUUUAAUUAAAAUAUGAGUUAAAAUUUAAAAAUUAAAUAUAUGUUUUUAAAUUUUAAUUUGAACCUUAAAUUAAAAAAUUAAAAUUUAAUCAAGUAUUUCGAAUAUAAUUUACGAAUUUGAAUUUAAAUUAAAUUUUAAUUUAUAUAAAGUUUUAUUUAAAUUUUAUUUCAAACUUAAAUUAAAUUUAUGGAUUCAAAUUAAAAUUUAAAUUAUAAUUUUAAAUUUGAAUUUGAAUAGAUCAAAAUUUAAUUUCAUAUUUUGAAUUAUCCAUUCAACUUCAAAAUUUAAUUUUUUAAAAAAAAAUAGAUUUAAAAUCUUGACAUUAUUUCCUAAUUUUGAUGUAAAUUUUUAAUAUUUAAUUUUUAAUUUGAAUUUAAAUUAAUAUAUUAUAAAGAUAAUGCUAGUAUAUUAAUUUGAUUACGUUUUUUAUAUCCAUUUGAACCAAACACCGACAAUGGGAAUGAUUUAUUCCGAUUCCGAUUCAGGUGAUGAACCAAACAGAAUUAGGUAAUGAGCCAUUCUGAUUUCAAUUCCAGCUUAUUUUGAUUCCGAUUCCGAUUCCGACUCCGACUUCGAACCAAACACGCCCAUAGAGUAAAAAGCUACAAAUGUUUUAUAGAAGUGAAUGGUGGAACUUAAUUACUUCCACGUUGUUCUCGGACAUAGUACAUUCAAAUCGUGAUUAACACCAUUGUAUGUGGUUUAUACUAACUGAAUUUUUAGACACUAUAUUUAGUAAUUUUUUGUUAUCAUUUUUCGUUAACAUACGAAAAAAAUUUCUUAUAAAUAUUUGUUUUUUUUUAUAUUUUUUUCUGACUUUCAAAAGGCUAUAUUAUUUCUCUUAAAAUUUUAAAUUGAUACACUUAUAGUCCGCCCAUCCGUUAGGAUUUUAUCACUGUUUUGCUUAUUUCUUAUAAUUUACACCGAAAAUAUUUUUAAAAAUAAUAGAAAUAUAUUAACAAACUAUUUUUUCUAAGAAUAUGUAAGAAUAAUUUUCUCAUUUAGGUCUCUACAUAAAAGUAGUAUUUUUAAAAAAAAUAUUUCUGCACAUUUUGAUAGGGUAAAAUAUAGAUUUUUAAAAGUUAGAAAAUGGAAGUAAAAAAAGGGCAUUUACAAAAGAAUUUUCUGUAUUUUAGCUAAUUUUUAAUGACUAAUAUAAAAAAAUUUUGGAGCCACAUGAUCGCUAGAUAAAUGAUGUUAUAAAAUCAUAAAACUCAAUUUUUAUAAAGUUUAAUUUAUAUAAAUUAUAUUUAAUAAAUUCAAUAGUCGAUUCAGAUGUUCCACUAUCAAGAACGUUGCAAAAGUGAAUGAAAAGUAGUUUUAGGCUUACUCUAAUAUUUGUAUACGUUUCUAUUAAUUCUACUUUUAGACAAUUGUAAAGCCAAAUAGGCCGUUAAUUAGUUGCAUGUAAGUUGAGCAAAUGGUGGGAGGUGGUUGGUUUGAUUGCUAUAAAUAAACAAAUAAAUAAAUUGGUAGCACAAGAGAUAUGCAUUAAAGAGCCAAACUUGGUAAAUAUACAAUCCUUUUGGGGCAAAGGACCAAAAAAGCUUAGCUUAAAAAUUGAAGUUGCUUAUAUAACUUCACACUUUUGGGAUUUUCUCUUGUUCAAUUCCCAACCUUGCAAUUAAUUAGGUAGCCCACUUUUUUUAGAAAUUCCAGGAGUUUUGCUUAUUUACUUAUUUUUGAAGUUGUUUUUAUACUAAUAAAAAUGUAUAAAAUUUGUCUAAAUUAAAGGUUAUUUUGAAACAGCUAUCGAACUUUUCGAAAUUUUAAUUUUUUUGCUUAACCUUUCAAUUCGUUUGAUUUAAGUCAGUCAAUAAUAUUCUGACUCUAAAAUUUAAAUGUUUAUAGUAAAGAUUAGGUAAACUAUAUGUACUGAUCAGAGAGAUGUUUCUAUACGAUUAAACUUGGCCCGAUGAAAUCCAGAUUUUUAAAUCUAAAAAUACCACGACAACGAUGUACGAAUUAAAAACUAGUGAAAAUAAAAACAAUUUGACUCAAAUUUUGUUUUGGAUUGGAAGUUCAUAGUCAAUUGCAAAGUGCCUCAACAAGCCAAGAAUCUUAGAAAAAGAAAAACAAAAAAAAGGACAAAAGAAGCUUCAAGAUUUGGUCUAGAGUUAUAUCAUUUCUCCUUUACAAUGGGGGUAGUAUUACAUCAUUAGUCCACAAACUUAUAAUAGUCUCACUUCACCUUUGUCCUUGAAUUCUAAAGUUGAAUAUUCACAAUUUUAAACUUUUAAAAUUAUUUUACUUUAGUUCUCUUUCUUAUUUGUUGUAAAGAAAAUUUUGUUGCCUAUAUACACACCGACUGUACGGCCACAUAUCCUGUAAUCUAAGUUUUAUUUCCUUAUCUUUGGAUUCUAGUAUUAGAUUGAAAGUAAAUAAACAAAUGUAUGAAUACACAAAUGCACCUAUAAUACAUGUAUUUUUUAUUUUUUUUCCUAAGGAGGAAAAUGAAGUACUGUAUUUUUGCAAGCUUAGAGCAUUGAAUCUCCAAUUUAACAAUUUAAAGCCUAAUAGAGUAAUACCUUGACUAGACUUAGCUGGGAAACUUUACCUUUCAAAGUACAUCUACCCCUUUAUAAGUACGUAUCCCCUGGAAUUUAGAAAGCUUUUUCUUUGUCUCAUGUGAGGAGAAAAUGGGAAAAAGUUACAGGGACCCCAGAUGGGAAUGUUCCUAAAUGAUUCCUCUUUAACCUUAACAAAUGAGGGGCCUACAUGGUUGUGACAAUUAAUCUACAUGAUGAUGAUAGUGUCUUCAAAAUCAGUAUAAGGAAUAAAAAAAAUAGGGUUAAUUGCAUACAGGUCUCUGCAAAUAUAGUAAAUUAUAAAUAUAUCCUCGUAAAGUUUAAUUUUUAUAAAUUAUCCCUGUAAAAGUUUUGAUACUUUCAGAUAUGUCCCUACCGUUAGAAUCCGUUAGAAAAGUUUAGUUAACAAUACGUUAAAUACUUUAUCCGGAUUACUUUUUGACAUUUUUACAUCUCUUAUAUUAUACUGUUAUAACUUUUGGAGGGAUAUAUUUGUGAUGGCAAAAUUGAAAAUAUAAAUAGGUUUCUAACGGUUCUCUAACGGUAAUAAACCAGAGGGACAUAUUUGAAAAUCUUAGAAUUUUUGCAGGGAUAACUAAUGAAAGUUGAACAUUACAGGAAUAUAUUUGUAAUUCACUAUGUUUGAUGGAACCUGUAUGCAAUUAACCCAAAAAAAUAUGUAUAUGGUGACAACCAAGUCGAAGCGUAUUAUCCUGCCAAUUUUUAGGCAUUGUUUGAUUAUAUAUAGUUACAAUUGUAAUCCUGUUGUAAUUACAUAUAAAUUCAAAUCUGGCAUUUGGUUCGAAGUGUCUGAAUCCAACUGCUGCAGUUGGAACUGCAUGCGGAAGACCAAGCAGCAGUUAAAAAGAGUAAUUUUUUUACAAGAGAUAAGUUUAUCUCCUUAAUUAUAUUUUAAAUCAAAAUUAAUUUUCUUUUUAUACUGCAGAUAAUCUCACAACUAUAUAUAUAUAUAGAGUUGGGCUAGAAUACAAUUGAUAGCAAAAGGCUCUUUUUGCUAUCAANAUUUAGGCGCAAUGAUGUAAAAAGAAAAAUGGAAAGAUGGACAUUGCUUUCUAAACUUCACCACCACUGCCCCAGCGCAGGUGGCUGGUACCACUCUCUCUCUCUCUCUCUCUCUCUCUCUCUAUAUAUAUAUAUAUAUUAAUAAAAUUUUACAAAGGUACUACUCAACUAUAUGCAACCAAACAUAUUAUUUAUAUUUGCAACAUUUUUUACCACAUCAUCCAAACACGAUAUAUAUAUAUAUAUAUAUUAUAAUUGUUGUAUCUUCAACUAUACUAUAUUUCUAAUUACAUCAAAGUAUCAAACCGCAGCCUCUUAUUGUUACAGAAUAAUUUUGAGGACCAAAUCUUACAGUCCAAUGAUUUGGGGAUUAAAAAAAAAAAUGCCUACAGACUUAAUAGAGAGAGAAGGAGAUAAUCUCCAAGUCUCCUUUCUCAAUGAUUGAAUAAAAAAUCAUAUCAACUUUUCAAACACAAUAAAUUAUUAUAGGUCCAAUUGAAAAGAACUUAAAUAUUCCCUUUCAAGCAUAGUGUAUUUUUUUGGUUUUUUUAAGUUUACUAUUCUUGCUUGAAGGAGUUUUCUUGCUUACAUUUUACUUACAUUGACUGGGUAAUUAAUGUCAUGCUUUUAUUUUUUUUCUUUUGAAAAGCAAAUGUCACAUGUUUGAGAAAUUAAACAUGAUUGAUUAAUUAACUUCUUAGACUCAUGAACAUUAGCAAUAGAGAUUAACAAAUAUAGGCUUUGAACAUUGAAUUUGUCAAAAUAUAAAGCAUUUGUGUUACUUGUGUAUUAUUCUAUAAAUUCUUUCUUUAUUUUUAUUGUUUUAUAAGAUCCAUGUUUAUUUUUCACUAGGACCUCUACUCAAUAAAGUAACACCAUACUACAUUUUACAUACACAGAACAAUAAAAUCUAGCAUUUUUUUCAGGCCUAUAAUUUGAAAAAUAUAAAAAUUUAUUCUUUAUUCUUUUAUUUAACAAUAGAUUUUUCUAGCCUAUACUACAUUUUUCUGGCCUAUAAUUUAUUCUUUAUUCAAUAAAGCAACACCAUACUACAUUUUUCUGGCCUAUAGUUUGAAAAAUAUAAAACUUUAUUCUUUUAUUUAACGAUAUAAUAUUCUUCUGGGUAAUGAAACAAAAUUCAUUCGGUAUUAUAUGUAAAUCAUAAGGUAGUUAAAAGUUUUUUUUUUUGUAGAAGAUAAGUACAAAAUAUUUGUCCUUUAAUUUGAAUAUGUGUAUAUAUAUAUAUAUAGAGAGAGAGAGAGAGAGAGAGAGAGAGAGAGAGAGAGUUGGACUGGGUUACUAUUAGUAACAAAAUCCCAUUAUUGCUACCAGUUUUUUAGCCUUUAGAUCAACUCUUUUCAUUAUUUUUAACCAUUGGAUUAAAUACUAUAACCCAGUGGGAACCACUCAACCCUAGGGGGACCACUCAACUCUAACCGACUAAUAUCAUUUUGACCCUAUAAUUUUUCAUCCAAGAGUUAAAAACUUGAUAGCAAAAAGAGCGUUUUACUAUUAAUAGUAUUCCAGUCUAAUUAUAUAUAUAUAUAUAUUUGAAUAGUUCUAAUAUUAAACUUGGUCAAAUAAAGCACCCUGUGGUUUUUCAUUCCAAGAAGCUAUAACAAGGGCUUAAUAUUCUUGCUCAUAACAGUCUAGGGCUUAUUUUGAAGUCAAAUUCACACUGUUGGAACAUUUCCAUGAUCUCAAUGACCUUUAUUUUCUAAGUAGAACUUCUUAUGACUUUGUGCGGUGGUCUCAUGCACCUGCACAGCUAGCAAGGGAUCAAUUACCAAUGUGGGGUUAUGUAUCUUUCAAGCCUUGGCCACCUCAUAAUACAAAAUAUUAGAGCUAAAAAUAUAAAAUGCAUGUGUUAGGGAGUUAUGGGUCCAACCCAGACCCACUUGAGCCCAAAAAAUAUAAUAUGUUUAAUGGAAUUCAUUUAACUUAAAUAUAUUAGAUUUGUGCCAACUAAUAUAUAUAUAUAUAUAUAUAUAUAUAGAAUUAGGCUGGAAUACUAUUAAUAGUAAAACGCUCUUUUUGCUAUCAAGUUUUUAAUCCUUGGAUGAAAAAUUAUAGGGUCGGGAUGAUAUUAGUCGGUUAGAGUUGAGUGGUUCCCCUAGGAUUGAGUGGUCCCCACUGGGUUAUAGUAUUUAAUCCAAUGAUUAGAAAUAAUGAAAAGAGUUGAUCCAAAGGCUAAAAAACUGGUAGCAAUAAUGAGAUUUUGCUACUAAUAGUAGCCCAGUCCAACUCUAUAUUAUAUAUAUAUAUAUAAUGAGAUUAGUCUUUGGAUCAACUCUUUUCAUUAUUUCUAACCAUUGGAUUACAUACUAUAACCUAGUGGAGACCACUCAAUCCUAGGGGGACCACUCAACUCUAACCGACUAAUAUCAUCCUGACCCUACAAUUUUUCAUCAAAGGGUUAAAAACUUGAUAGCAAAAAGAGCGUUUUACUAUUAAUAGUAUUCCAGCCUAAUUCUAUAUAUAUAUAUAUAUAUAUAUAUAUUAGUUGGCACAAAUCUAAUAUAUUUAAGUUAAAUGAAUUCCAUUAAACAUAUUAUAUUUUUUGGGCUCAAGUGGGUCUGGGUUGGACCCAUAACUCCCUAACACAUGCAUUUUAUAUUUUUAGCUCUAAUAUUUUGUAUUAUGAGGUGGCCAAGGCUUGAAAGAUACAUAACCCCACAUUGGUAAUUGAUCCCUUGCUAGCUGUGCAGGUGCAUGAGACCACCGCACAAAGUCAUAAGAAGUUCUACUUAGAAAAUAAAGGUCAUUGAGAUCAUGGAAAUGUUCCAACAGUGUGAAUUUGACUUCAAAAUAAGCCCUAGACUGUUAUGAGCAAGAAUAUUAAGCCCUUGUUAUAGCUUCUUGGAAUGAAAAACCACAGGGUGCUUUAUUUGACCAAGUUUAAUAUUAGAACUAUUCAAAUAUAUAUAUAUAUAUAAUUAGACUGGAAUACUAUUAAUAGUAAAACGCUCUUUUUGCUAUCAAGUUUUUAACUCUUGGAUGAAAAAUUAUAGGGUCAAAAUGAUAUUAGUCGGUUAGAGUUGAGUGGUCCCCCUAGGGUUGAGUGGUUCCCACUGGGUUAUAGUAUUUAAUCCAAUGGUUAAAAAUAAUGAAAAGAGUUGAUCUAAAGGCUAAAAAACUGGUAGCAAUAAUGGGAUUUUGUUACUAAUAGUAACCCAGUCCAACUCUCUCUCUCUCUCUCUCUCUCUCUCUCUCUAUAUAUAUAUAUAUAUAUAUAUGAGUUCGGCUGGGAUACUAUGGAUAGCACGGAAGUCACUGUGGUACCAAGUUAUUUUCGAUGAUGCGGCUUCUAAAUCGACGAUCGACUCCGUUAGACUUGAUCUACACUAUUGAAAGUAUUUGAAAACUAAAUUUCAUAAUUUUUCGACAUCAUUUACCGAUCAAACGAGUAGUCUAAAAAUAAACGGCUGAGAAUAAAAAUUUCAUAAAAAGUGAUGAUAAAAGAUUUGAAUUUAAGAUCAGAAGUACUGAUCUUACUCUAAGUAGUGAAAAUAAUUUUCUAUAAAAAUUCCAUCAAAUUUGGAUUGUUUUACACCGUUAAAUUCACAAACGCAUCAAAUCUACCAUUAAAAUUGUCAAUUUUGAGACAUUUUGAUCACUAGCCAAAUGAUGUCGAAAAAUUAUGAAAUUUAGUUUCCAAAUACUUUCAAUAAUGUAGAUCAAGUCUAAUGGAGCCGAUCGUCGAUUUGGAAGUCACAUCAUUGAAAACAACUUGGUAGCACGGAUGCCUCCGUGCUACCGAGAGUAUACCAGCCUAACUCUCUCUCUCUCUCUCUCUCUCUCUCUCUCUCUCUCUCUCUCUCUCUCUCUCUAUAUAUAUAUAUAUAUAUAUAUAUAUAUAUAUAUAUAGAGUCCGGCUGCUAUGCUAUCGAUAGCAUGCACCAAGCACUUGGUGCUAUCAAGUUUUCUGUCGUUAGAUUAAUUUAUUUGAUUAUUUUUAUCCGUUAGAUUAUACUAUUCAACCAACCAUCCACUCAGCCCUAGCCACAUCAUCCUAAUCAUAUAUUUCUCAAUCCUCUUUCCAUUUUCACAUGGGAACCAAUUAACUCCUUUCAAGUUGCACCGCAUUGUAUUUUUCGGUUUUUCACUAAGACAUGUCCUUCAAGUUCAUUUAUGAGUUAUAACCCACUCUUUCAACUCCAUGCGCUUCAACCCGCACCACUCACGAAUUUGUCCGAGCACAUGCAUCUCACUUGCAUCAAUCGACUCGAUUGCUCUUUGAAUGCACCGACCAUUUGAGCUCAAGCAUCUAACAUGCGCCUCUCAGGCUCAAUUCUUUUGAAUGCACCAAAUUAUCAUAUCGCAUUUUAUGACAUUUCUUCGCGAACAUGCCAUGUUCGUAAAAGCUACUAACUCGAUCACACCAUACUAUUUCGACAAAUAGGCUAGAAUUGUCGGAUCAUCAGCUACUAACUCGAUCACACCAUACUUUAAUCUCCGACUAGUCGACGAAGUCAUAUUUUAUUAUAAAACCAUUUUUGUACAUUUAUGUACCAUUAACUUGUCGACUACUUUACACUGCUUAUUUCAACCCGAUCAACCAUUGAUUUAUGUGAAAAUUGAAUCUUUGUAUUGAAAAUAUGAGAUAAAUGAAGAGUCGAUAAAUUCAUAAAUAGUGUAUAAAGAAACCGAUGAACUAGUUGCAAGUAAUAAUUUUUAAAGUAAAUUGCAUAUUUGGUCCUCAAACUAUGAGGUAGGUGAUAUUUUGGUAUUCAAAUUUUAAUUUAUUGUAAUUUUUUUUCCUAACUUUCAGAAUUAUUAUAAUUAAAUCCUAUAACUUGAUUUGAUUUACUAAAUAUUGAUGUAUAGUUAAUAUGGAAGUGAUGUAGUAAUAUUGUAAGUUAUAGGCUAUUCUGAAAUAGGUCCCUGAGUUAUAUAUAUUUUUUAGAUUGAU